rnacentral:rRNA from 1 species
UAUGUGAUCGUCUCUCGCAUAUCAAUAAGCGGAGGAAAAGAAACUAACAAGGAUUCCCCUAGUAACGGCGAGUGAAGCGGGAAGAGCUCAAAUUUGAAAUCUUAAAGGGUUUCCCUUUACGAAUUGUAGUUUAAAGAAGUGUUUUCUGUUGAGGUUUUGGUAAAAGUUCUUUGGAAUAGGACAUCAUAGAGGGUGAGAAUCCCGUAUUUGACCUUUACUUUCAACUUUGUGAUACACUUUCAAAGAGUCGGAUUGUUUGGGAAUGCAGUCCAAAAUGGGUGGUAAAUUUCAUCUAAAGCUAAAUAUUGGCGAGAGACCGAUAGCGAACAAGUACCGUGAGGGAAAGAUGAAAAGAACUUUGAAAAGAGAGUUAAACAGUACGUGAAAUUGUCAAAAGGGAAGCGUUUGACACCAGUGUUGUUUUUCUGAAAAUCAAUUAAAGAACUGUUUAUGCUAAGCUGUUUAGACUUUAUCAGCUAAUUUGUUUAGUUUUGAGCUUUUCUUUAAUGCACUUUUCAGUUAACAAGUCAACAUCAAUUUCUUUUGCUGUAAAAAAGCUUGAGGAAGGUGGCUUGAGAUUCGUCUUAAGUGUUUAUAGCCUCUUGCCUAUGCAGUCGGAGAGAUUGAGGUCUGCAGCGUAGAUCCUUCGGGGCUAAAUGCAUUUGUGCUAAGUUAUAGCAUUUUAUAGACAACUUGUUGACUAUGAUUUGUCUUGUAGCUUACUCGCUUAUGUUAUUUUACCUACGCUUAGGAUGUUGAGCGCAUGUCUCUCUCU